rnacentral:lncRNA from 1 species
GGAAAAGCAAGGCUUAUUCAGCACCGGUGCAGGCUCAGAGGAGUCACCUCCAGAGUCUGAGCACCAGGUCUUUGUUCUCAGUAACUUUUAUACACUACAAGGUCUUGAUUUUCCCAUGUAAGCAUCCCAGACCUCCCCCAUCCCCAAGCAGACAGUGUUCCUUCCCUAAGAAACUGAGCAAGCAAGGUUACAGAAGCGGAACUGAUAAGCAAUGCUGGGUACAUGAUUAGCAGGGCUGCUGGCUUGGACAGAGGGCACACAGUUGUUACAUUAUUACAAGAAGGGUGGUAUAGUGACAAGCAUAGCUAGAAAGGCUUGCAGCUGCCUUCUUAGCCAAGGGGCGGGGGGUUGUUCUUUAGUUAAAACUCUAUUUCAGAAGCUCUUUGAGGAAUGUCAAUGGCUAAAUCUCAAGCCAAUUUUGUUUUAUUAGUUUCCAUGUUCAAAUUCAGACAGUUUAUUUAAAAGUAGACCAAAUUUAUUGAUGUUGUUUUAAAGCUGAAUGUAAACAUAGUUAAAAGAUAUUGCAUAUGGUUUCAUCUUUAGUGUUUAUAGUGGAAGUGCUCAUCCACUAGAGGUAAGGCUUUGGAGCAGCAUCUUCCUUAUUUCAUUACACUCUGAUCUCGGGGCAAAUGGAAGCCUUCCCAGAUCCCUCUGUCUAAACAGUAGUUCUUUCUGUCCUCUGUCCCCUAGCCCUGCUUUAUUUUCUUUCAGAGCACGUGUCCCGAACCUGACAUUAAUAUAGAAAAUGGAACAGAGAAGGCCCAGGAGCAAUGCUCAAUUGGAAGCAAGGCUGUAGGGUCCUUUUUCUUUCUUUUUUUUUCUUUGCAACUAACACAAACCUGUAUUUAAAAAAUAUAGCUAUGCAAGAAAAAGAAAAAAGAAAUGGGAGUUCCAGUUGAGGCUCAGUGGUAAACAACCCAACUGGUAUCCAUGAGGAUACAGGUUCGAUCCCUGGCCCCACUCAGUGGGUUAAGGAUCUGGCAUUGCUGUGGCUGUGGUGCAGGCCAGCAGCUGCAGCUCUGAUUCUACCCCUAGCCUUGAGACUUCCAUAUGCCAUGAGUGUGGCCCUAAAAAGACAAAAAAAGAAAGAAAGAAAUGAACCCUUAUUCACAUAUAAUCACUUUCAACCUUUUGCAUUGAACAUUAUAUUGUCAACAUCUUCCUAUGAUGUUAGGGUCCUUCUUUUGCUCCUUUUCCCCUUUACCUACCAUUGUUUUCUUUUACAGUGAGUUAAAUCCUUAGACUCAGUUUGAUAUUCUUAGAUCCUUGUGGCCAUGUUUUCUUCUUUUCUAUCAGAUCAUUAUAUUUUAUCAAUCUAACUUUCAUUAAUCCAACAUGAGACACACACACACUCUCUCUCUCUCCAUAUAUAUAUAUAUGACUUUUUAGAUAUAUUUAUAAUGGAUGAUAAAUCCUUUUCAGACAUUUCUGGUUGUGAGAAGAGAAGACUGUUUCUACUUAUAGAUGUCUGGAAAUUUAAAAGUAUGUUGGGACUGGAAUUAGUGCUGUCCUUUAUCACCCAAUGGAUAAAACAAAAUGAGCCCAGAGCCUUCCCUCUGAUAGACAAUUUCUCCUUACACCCUCUGCUCCAUUUUCAUGGUAAUGGAACUUGUUAGGGAGAACUACCCCUGUCUCCAUCCCUUCUGGUGCUCCAUGAUUCUGGACAGUAUCCCUAAUACUUACCCUCACAAAGCAGACCAAAGCACUUUGAGAAUUUUCUGGGCUAUCCCUAAACAUGAGCUGUAGAAACAUCCAAGAAAAAAUAUCAUUUUGAAUUUCAUUGUUGUCAGACAUGAAAGACAUAUGAGCAGCCUGAGCCCCCUUUCCUAAGGGCCUCUAGUCAGCUGUGAUUUGGUCCAUAAUGGCUACUAUAAAUCUGCCUUUUCUAUCCACUCUGCUCUUUCAGAAGCUUUCAGACUGUUUUAUAUCAAUUUCUAGGAACCAUCUAACUCCUUCCCUAAUCAGCCCAGAUUUCUUAGAAGGGAAAAUGACUGAUACCCUAAACUAACAUUAAGGUAGACUAUCCAAGAUAAUUUUUUUCAUAGAGGACAAUUGAAUGAUUUCAUGGUAGUUUUACUUUAUUUGGCUUCGGAGUUUUGCCAAUAAGAAUCUAUUAUGAUAUAUAUUGACAAAAAUACUUUAAAAAACAGAACUAAGUACAGAGAUCUAGACUCAUAUCUUUACGCAUUUACUAUUAGAAGACAAAGUACUAUUUAAGAGAUAAUGUAGAGACUUGGCUUGGCCACUGACUUAAAAAGAAACCCUGCUCAUGUGUAUAUUUUUACACCUGUAUUAAAGACAAUACAGAUAAUAAUAGAGUUUAGUAAAUAAUGCUUAAAUCAAGAAUUGUGCUUUUAAAACUGAUGAGUUAAAAAUUAGGGCAGUGUUUUCAUAAUUUACUUUGAUAAAUAAGUCUCAUUUUAGAAUUUCUCUAGUGGAGUUUGAAAAAGGCAAAUUGAAUUAUUCCCAAGAUGAGUUUUUAAAUUAAGGUUAUGACUACGUUAAUUAAAAUGUCAGUUUAUCCAAAACCAAAGAAGGAAUGAAGAAAUUUUAAAAUAAUAUAAAAAUGUAUAAAAUACCACAGAAAGCUACUAGAUAUUGUAAUUUUAAUGUUAAGAAAGUAUCCAUAUUGCUGUUAUUUCAAACUAGAAUGGAAUUUCUAUACCAAUUAAGAACUGCAUUUUUUAUAAUAUCAAAAGUCAUUUGGGUAUUUUAGGACAACAUCCGUGGCAUAUGGAAGUCCCCAGGCUAGGGGUUCAAAUCGGAGCUACAGCUGCUGGCCUACUCCACAGCCACAGCAAUGCAGAAUCUAAGCCGCAUCUGCAAUGUACACCACAGCUUGCUGCAACGCUGGAUCUUUAAUCCACUGAGCAAGGCCAGGGAUCGAACCCGCAUCUUCAUGGAUACUAGUUGGAUUCAUUUCUGCUGUGCCACAACAGGAACUCCCAGGUAUUAUAUUUUUAUUGUCAUUGUUUUCUUAUGACUACAGGUUAUUGUUCAGGAUUUUUAAUUCUUUAAUUUUUAAUAAAAUAAAAAGUGUUGAGUUUUCAAAAAUUCAUUACAUUCAUAAAAUCUUCUUUAGAUUCCCAAUUUUCUUAUAAUUUGUGUAAAUAUCUCUCUAUUCUGCACACAGGUUAUUCACUUAUUUUUUUCUAACUCUAGAGCAAAUGGUAAACCAAAAUGUAUUACCAUAUAUCUUUAUGAGGGUUUUAUCUAAUUUAUGAAUACUCCAAUUUAAUCUUCACUUCAGAAAUGGCACUCCUGUGCUAUAAUCACUCUGCAUUUAUUAUUUCAUCAAAUAUUUAUCAAGCACCUUCUUUAUGUAAGAUUCUGUCCUAAGCAUUGGGAGAAACAAGACAGUUUCUUUGAUUUGUUUUGUUUUGAUUUUUAGGGUCGCACCUGUGACAUAUGGAUGUUCCCAUGUUACGGGUCGGAUUGGAACUGCAGCUGCCAGCCUGUGCCACAACCACAGCAAUGCGAGAUCCAAACCAUUCUUCGACCUACACCACAGCUCACAGCAAUACUGGAUCCUUAACCCACUGAGAAAGGCCAGGGAUCAAACCUGCAUCCUCAUGGAAACCAGUUGGGUUCAUUACUGCUGUGCCACAACGGGAACUCCCCAAAAUCUUUGUCUUAAAACUUCUAUUCUAGUGGAGGACACAGACUUUAAACAAAUCAAUAGAAACUUAAAGUCAGAUAACAAUAAGUAUUAUGAAGAACAUAAAAAUAGAGCCAAAUGACAGAGAGUGGGAAGAGCUAGAAGUUUAUAUAGAAUAAUUAGGGAGAGCUUUAUGGCAGAGGUAGUAUUUAAGACUCAGGGAAAAUGAGAAGAAGCCGUGUAGAGAUGAAAAAAAUUUCCAGACAGAGACAAAAAACACAGAGCUUAAAAUAGGCACUUACCUGGAGGUUUGAAGAUCAGUAGAAAGGCCAUUGGGACGUGGGAUGGAAUUAGCAGGGGAUAAAUAAUAAAGGAUGAGAUCAGCAAAGUAAUAGGAGCCAAGGGAUUAAGAUCUAUUUCGGCCUUGGAAAGUUGUAAAUUAUCUGAAAUGGGAAGCCACUGGAGAGGUUGAAGAAAGAGUGAUGUAAUCUGCUUUCUGCUUUUUUCUUUCUUUCUUUCUUUCUUUCUUUCUUUCUUUCUUUCUUUCUUUCUAAUGGCUGCACCUGCAGCAUAUGGAGAUUCCCAGGCUAGGGGUUGACUCAGAGCUGCAGCUGCUGGCUUACACCAUAGCCAGAGCAACGAGGGAUCAGAGCUGCAUCUGCAACCUACACCACAGUUCACAGCAACUCACUGAGCAAGGCAAGGGAUCGAACCUGCCACCUCAUGGUUACUAGUCAGAUUCCUUUUUGCUGCACCACAAUGGGAACUCCACGAGUUAUAUAAUCUGACCAAGAUGGUAUUUCAGAUCCUAUGAUAGUGGUGUACCUAGUGAUAAGGCAGGGACUUUGGAUAUGUUUUCAAAUUUAAGCUCAUAGGAUUUGCUGUUGGAUUGGGUGCAGAGUCCAACAAAAAAGAAAAAAGAUUCACUUCAAGGCUUUGGCUUAAUACUUGGAAAGAUGGUGUUGGCAUUUACUAAAAUUGCAAAGAUUUCAAGAGAGGUAGAUUUGGAAGCGUGUUGGGAUGUGUUUGUCUGAGAUUCGGAGAUGUUGAGGUGUUUGACCUUCUGCAUCUGGGGCUUUGAGGGGAGGAAUAGACUGGGGGUACACAUUUGGCAAUUGUUGAUAUAUAGAUGGGUGAGAUAACCAAGAGAGUGAGAGGAGAAGCCGGGGAAAAGGAGCUCUGAGCCCUGAGCAUGCAUUUUAACAUCUAGAGGAAUGGGAUGUGAAGAGAAUCUAGCAAAGCAGGCCGAAAGAACGACAGGGGAGUGAAAAUAAAAAUCAAGAGAAUGUGGAAUCCUCAAAGUCAAAUGGUGGUUGGGGGGCUUUUCAAGGAAAUGAUAAGGAUGCAGAUAUGUUGAAAGUUGUUAACAAGUCAAUUUAGAUAAGAUCUAAGAAAUGACUUAAAGAUUUAGCUAUGAGGGAGGAAGGCACUGGUGAUUUUGACAAGAUCUUUGCUGGGGGAAUAGACAAGGAAAACUCUGCAGAGGGGUCAGGAGAGAAUAAGAGGGGAGGAAUGGAAGACAAUAGGGAUUUACACUGAUAGUCUGAUACGUGUGAGUAUAUAGAUAACAUCAUUAUAUAUCCAGCCAGAAAAUUUUUUUUUUUGGUUUUUUGAUAUUUCUUUGGGCCGCUCCCGCGGCGUAUGGAGGUUCCCAGGCUAAGGGUCGAAUCAGAGCUGUAGCCACCGGCCUAUGCCAGAGCCACAGCAACACGGGAUCCGAGCCGUGUCUGCAACCUACACCACAGCUCACGGCAACACCGGAUCCUUAACCCACUGAGCAAGGAGAGGGACUGAACCCGCAACCUCAUGGUUCCUAGUCGGAUUCGUCAACCACUGCACCACGACGGGAACUCCCAGCCAGAAUUUUUAAAUCUAAAUUAAAUACCUUUUUCAUAUUAAGAAUCAUUCCAGGAGACAUAAAAUUGAAGGAAAUCAAAGUUCACAUUCACAAAGCCUUUCUGUAGUUUAUAACAUAUUCUGGCCCAUGACUAACUUUCAAAAGCACUUAUUUCAAUCUGGGGAGAGUAAUAAAUAAAGAUACCUUUGCUAUAGAAGGAAUAUUCAGGAGAGAAAGUAAGGGCACACCUCCCUACUUUGCUGGAUUAGUUCUGUGAAGCUGAAGAUCAAUGUGGUCCAGAGAUUGGCACAGCACUAUUUCCUAUGCAGAGCAUUGUGGCAUUUCAUGGUGGACAUUCUGUGGUGUGGUGCAGUGCUGUGUGCUUUGUUGCCACAAGAGAAGGAUGGGACCAUGUAUUUUUGCAGCACCGGCCACUUGAUUAGUUUUGUCUGAAAUUUCAAUUUUCCAAGGCACUAUGAGAAGGGUCCCAGCUGGUAACAAGGAAACCAGAGGAAAGGUGAAAGUGAACAAAUGAGACAAAACUUUUAUUUUGUUGCCCCCCCUCCUUUUAGGGCUGCACCCCCAGCAUAUGGAAGUUCCCCGUCUAGGUGUUGAAUCUGAGCUGCAGCUGCUGGCCUACACAACAGCCACAGCAACUUGGGAUCCAAGCCGUGUCUUCAACUAAACCACAGCUCACCGCUAUGCUGGAUCCUUAACCCACUGAGCAAGGCCAGGGAUCGAACCCUGAACCUCCUGAUUCCUGGUCAGAUUCAUUUCGGCUGCGCCACAACUGGAACUCCUAUUUCGUUGACCCUUUUAAAAAAAUCUUCAGUGCCCUCCUCCUUACCCACACACUGGUUUCAAAAUAAAAAUAAUAUGCCUAAGCCUAGCACUCAAGGUCUUUUUAAGCUAGCUCCAUGCCACCCAUGAACACUGUCUUGCUCUAGUCACGAGGAGCCAUCCUGUGCUCCAAGCGGGGCCUCUACACUGCCUCUUCAACUCUGCACACCCUUCCCUGAGUUGGAGUAUUUCUUUGCUCACAUUUGCUGCUGCCUGGAGCACACCCCCCAGACUCUCUUCCUCCACUUCCCAAGGGCAGCAGUUAUAGGUUAUAUCCCUUGCUUUGUCUAAAGGACAUAGCAGAGAAUCAAAUGUAGACACAUCCUGAACUUUUAUAGUUGUAACUGACCUUAUAGUUCAGCCUCGGUCCUUUAGAGGGAAGGAAAUGAAAGCCUAGGAAAAUAUACUUAAAAAUAUUACACAAAUACAUCUUUAAGUCUUAAAGGAAUUAAACAAUAUAGAGGUGAAUAACAUGAAAAGUAAGUUCUUCUCCAUCCCCACACCAUAGAGUUGAUCAGUAUUUUUCUCAGAUAUUAGUCUAGUUAUAGAGAAAAAAAAAAAUUCUCUCAAAGAGGGCAUUACAUUAUAGACUGUGUUCUACAAGUUGUUUUAUUAUUUUUUCCACUUAAUAUUUCACAAAUGUUUUUCUGUGUCAGUAUAUAUAGAUGAUUUGAAAAAAUUCAGUUGGAGAAAAAUCUUAGGUAUGUUUUUCUCUACAUCAAAGAGGCUCGGCAGGUGUCUGUGGGCAAACUGUAGGGUAGGUGUGAGUAAAACAAAUCUCAUGAAGCAAAAUAAAAAUGCCAAGACUUGCAUAAUAUUUCAUCCUCUUUGGCACUUUUCCUACAGUUUAGGGACCAGCUGCUAGGAGAGAGGCAAUCCCACCCCAGCCCCUUGGUAAUAAGGAUCAAGUUAGACAAUGGAUCCAGAGUCAGGACUGGAUACUUGACCUGGAGAAAAGAGAAACUGGUAGUCAGGGGACACAGCUGCUAGACAGAACUGGAACAUCCUUCUCACUGUCCUUACCUUUUCCUUCUACAGGCUCAUAACUACUGUCUCCUUAUCAAACCCACCUCUCCCAGCAUCGCUGACCUCCACCCCUUUCAGAGACCUUGACUUCCAUCAUCUCCCACCCGCCCCUGUCUUGUUCUCUUGGGUGCUAGCUUUUCUUGGCCCUGAAAAUAUUUUGAAAAAUAAUUGGAUCACAGCUAUACCUUGCUCAAGUCUCCUGUGUCACAAUCAGCCACCCAGUGUAGACUGAAAACUGGUGCUCUAAGGCUACUUUGGGUCAAAGUAGGUGGCUGCUGGCCUGGAGUAACCCUGAUGCAGAAGCCAGGAUGCAACUCACCUCCAGCCGGGUAGGGAGUGGACCACUGCUGGAUGUGCGAGGAAUCGAGAUUAGAUACCCAGCCAGGAAAAAAAUGGGUUCCAGCGGCUGAAUUUCAAACCAGAUGCUUCUUUAUUUCAAUUUUAAAAUAUCCUUUUCCCUCUAUCCUGAAUUGUCACCUACCCAGCAUGGGGGUGGGGAGGCUGUAACCCAAAGCCCAGCCCACUCCGGCCCCAGAGUGCCUCUCCACCCUUAAGCUGCCUUCAGUUUCACCUUAUUAUCGUCCC